CCGCUCCGUCUGAACCACGAAGGAGGCGCGGGUCGGGUGAUCACCCGACCCGCGCCUCCUCGUCUCCCGGCGUCGCGG
rnacentral:pre_miRNA from 1 species